rnacentral:lncRNA from 1 species
UCCAGCCAGCAACAGCUCUCACUUAAAGGAGAUAGGGGGAGCCUCGGCCAGGCUGCACGGAUCAGCUCCUGCAGCUCUGCCAUCCCGGGCAGUGCCCGGGAGCUUUGCUCAGCGCCGUCCCUCGCCUCCCCCGGCUGGGACACCCCGGGCAGGGUCCCCGGGGCGAGUGGCUCCCCGCCUGCCGGCCCCCGGGGCUUCUCCUGCAGCCUCCUCGCCCCUCAUCCCCCGGCUGCCCCCUCCCCGGCCCUCCGCGUCCCUCCCGAGCCGCCUCCGGCCCCGUCGGGGCUGCAGCAUCGAGGUCAGCCCCGACUCCCUCCCGCUCCAUCCCGCCCCGUCGGGGCUGCCCGCGGCUCUCCGGAGCUCGGAGCCGGGGGCAGGGGGGAGCCGCCCCCCGACGGGCGAUGCCCGAGCCUCACCUGGGCCGGAGCGGGGCACUGCGGGGCGGGCGGCGCUGCUCUGCCCGGGACCGGCCGGCGGCUCGGCCCUAGGUGCUGGAGGGCGACCGGGGCGGUGCCGGGCCCCUCGUCCCGCCCCGGCCGGCCCGGCUCGGGCCAUACAAGGCAGAAAAAUGCGGCGGGGCCGGGGCGGAGGGGCCGCGCUGCCGGCCUUGUACGGACGGGCGGGCGGCCCACGCGUGCCGCAAGUCCGCGGGAGGCUCCUGGGGGGGGGCACCCCGGGGAGCAGGGGGCUGUGGGGGACCAAAUCCACGCGGUGCCGUGCUGCCGGGGCCGGGGCAUCGCCCGCCCGCCCUCCUGGGGGCCGCGGGUCUCGGUGCUGCUCAGCUCCUCGGGCACGGAGCGGCCGCCGGUGCCGUGGGCUCCCCGACGGCGAGCCGGGGGGAUUCCCGCAUGGUGGGGGGCAGAGCUCUGCCCGCAGGGGAGCGGUGGCACAGGGGGGAUUUGGGAGCCUUUCCGAGGGGGAUUCGCCCGCCCCGGCCCCCAGCUGGGAGCGGGUUUGGGCGACACCGCCCGCAGCGGGGUCCGUGCCCCGCCGCGCACCUCGGGGGCUGCCCAGCGUGGCAAGGGACAGCCCGGGGCAACGCACGAGGAUUGCUGCCGCGAGCAGUGCUGUAAAAGUUCACCCCGCUGUGGGGCAGCCAUCUGCAGGGAGCCCAGCAGAGCGCAGGGCUGCGCGGAGUCUGCGCUGAGCCUGAGCUCCGUCUGGGGCUUUCCCACGGUGUUUGCCUUUUAA